rnacentral:rRNA from 1 species
GAUGAACGCUAGCGGCGUGCCUAAUACAUGCAAGUAGAACGCUGAAGAGAGGAGCUUGCUCUUCUUGGAUGAGUUGCGAACGGGUGAGUAACGCGUAGGUAACCUGCCUUGUAGCGGGGGAUAACUAUUGGAAACGAUAGCUAAUACCGCAUAACAAUGGAUGACACAUGUCAUUUAUUUGAAAGGGGCAAUUGCUCCACUACAAGAUGGACCUGCGUUGUAUUAGCUAGUAGGUGAGGUAAUGGCUCACCUAGGCGACGAUACAUAGCCGACCUGAGAGGGUGAUCGGCCACACUGGGACUGAGACACGGGCCCAGACUCCUACGGGAGCAGCAGGUAGGGAAUCUUCGGCAAGUGGGGGCACCCUGACCGAGCAACGCCGCGUGAGUGAA